rnacentral:rRNA from 1 species
GCGUAACGCGUGGAAAUCUGCCUAAAUACGGAACAACGUCGGGAAACUGACGCUAAUACCGUAUAAUAUCUCUGGAUCAAAGAUUUAUCGCCUAAGGAUUGGCCCGCGUUAGAUUAGGUAGUUGGUGGGGUAAUGGCCUACCAAGCCGACGAUCUAUAGGGGGUCUGAGAGGAUGAUCCCCCACACUGGAACUGAGACACGGUCCAGACUCCUACGGGAGGCAGCAGUAAGGAAUAUUGGACAAUGGGCGAAACCUGGAUCCAGCCAUGCCGCGUGAGUGAUGAAGGCCUUAGGGUUGUAA